CCUAGUAGUACGGGGUUAUAGCAAUAUAGCCCCCGUCUGCACCCAUGUUUUUUGCGUACUACAUGUUUCCUCGGCUGGUUCUCCAGCCGAUAGGAUCUCUCAAACUCAUUGUAAUUGCAAUCAGCGUCUGAGAAAAUUAAUAUUUA
rnacentral:misc_RNA from 1 species